GAUGAACGCUGGCGGCGUGCCUAAUACAUGCAAGUCGAGCGAACGGACGAGAAGCUUGCUUCUCUGAUGUUAGCGGCGGACGGGUGAGUAACACGUGGAUAACCUACCUAUAAGACUGGGAUAACUUCGGGAAACCGGAGCUAAUACCGGAUGAUAUUUUGAACCGCAUGGUUCAAAAGUGAAAGACGGUCUUGCUGUCACUUAUAGAUGGAUCCGCGCUGCAUUAGCUAGUUGGUAAGGUAACGGCUUACCAAGGCAACGAUGCAUAGCCGACCUGAGAGGAUGAUCGGCCACACUGGAACUGAGACACGGUCCAGACUCCUACGGGAGGCAGCAGUAGGGAAUCUUCCGCAAUGGGCGAAAGCCUGACGGAGCAACGCCGCGUGGGUGAUGAAGGUCUUCGGAUCGUAAAACUCUGUUAUUAGGGAAGAACAUAUGUGUAAGUAACUGUGCACAUCUUGACGGUACCUAAUCAGAAAGCCACGGCUAACUACGUG
rnacentral:rRNA from 1 species